UACAGAGACUGCAAGCGUUAUUCGGAUUCACUGGGCGUAAAGGGUGCGCAGGCGGCCAAGUGUGUCAGGUGUGAAAUCCCGGGGCUUAACUCCGGAACUGCGCCUGAAACUACUUGGCUAGAGCAUUGGAGAGGGAAGUGGAAUUCACGGUGUAGCAGUGAAAUGCGUAGAUAUCGUGAGGAACACCAGAGGCGAAGGCGACUUCCUGGACAAUUGCUGACGCUCAGGCACGAAAGCGUGGGGAGCCAAAGGGAUUAGAAACCCCAGUAGUCC
rnacentral:rRNA from 1 species